UGCAGACAAUACAUUGACAUUGUAUAUUCAUUAUAGAUAAUUGGCGUCAAAUUGUAGUUGAUUAGAGAACACAAAAAUCUCAGAAUUCGGUUUCGAUGCAAACUUACCUAUACUGAUGGGGCAUUCAUUGGUGAUUGCCAAUUCCAUAUUGAAAUCUCUUAUGCUAAUAUAUAACGGAUACGAACCUAAGUUUUUAUUCUCUUUUUUGGUUUCCAUAUAUACACGAACGCCCAUAUCGUUUCUAAUCUGCAAAGGAGGACAAUUAUCAUUCACAAUGUAUUUUAUUUCUACAAUUUUAUCAGAUGUAUCAAU
rnacentral:lncRNA from 1 species